rnacentral:rRNA from 1 species
GACGAACGCUGGCGGCGUGCUUAACACAUGCAAGUCGAACGGUGAAGCGCCUUCCUUUUUGGUGGGUGUGGAUGAGUGGCGAACGGGUGAGUAACACGUGAGUAACCUGCCCUCUUCUUCUGGAUAACCGCAUGAAAGUUUGGCUAAUACGGGAUAUUCUGGGUCUGUCGCAUGAUGGGUCUGGGUAAGAUGUUGUUUCGGGGGGGGAUGGGCUCGCGGUCUAUAAGCUUGUUGGUGGGGUGAUGGCCUACCAAGGCGGUGACGGGUAGACGGCCUGGGAGGGUGGACGGUCUGACUGGGACAGAGACACGACUCGGACUGAGACGGGAGGCAGCAGUGGGGGAGAGGGCGCAGUGGGGGAAAGCCUAAUGCGGCGGGACCGCGGGAGGGAUGGAGGCCUUCGGGUGGUGAAGGUCUUUCGCCAGUGAAGCAGGCCUGCCUGGUUUGAGGGGGGGUUGACGGUAGCUGGAAAAGAAGCGCCGGCUAACUACGUG